rnacentral:pre_miRNA from 1 species
UCUUAUGGAUGAGGAAAUAAGGUGGUUUCUUGAGAUGGAACUCACUCCUGGUGAAGAUGCUGUGAA